UACGUAGGGCGCAAGCGUUGUCCGGAAUUAUUGGGCGUAAAGAGCUCGUAGGCGGUUUGUCGCGUCUGUCGUGAAAGCCCACGGCUUAACCGUGGGUCUGCGGUGGAUACGGGCAGACUAGAGGCAGGUAGGGGAGAAUGGAAUUCCCGGUGUAGCGGUGAAAUGCGCAGAUAUCGGGAGGAACACCGGUGGCGAAGGCGGUUCUCUGGGACGGUACUGACGCUGAGACGCGAAAGCGUGGGGAGCGAACAGG
rnacentral:rRNA from 1 species